GGGCCUAAAAAUAUUUGGGCCGAACAGGGGGCCUAAUUGUUGGGGCUUUCUCAUUUAGGGCAUUUUUGACCUUCUACACACAUCGACAAUUUUGAGCAGAGCAAUUUAAUGGAUUGGGAUAGCAACUCUGAGCUUCGUAGCCAUAAAGACGACAUCUUUUUUUAGUUGCUUCUUCCAAGACGGUGACGUUGAACCACUUCCCUGUCUGGUCCUUCAAAGUGACGCCAUUCACAUUCAAAGCCUCGACGCCACUGACGUCAAACUGUACAAUUUCACACAAACAACCACCACGUAACUCGCCGGAUCCAUCGCUGUUUCGCUUGGUAAAUCGAUCAUUCCUCUAAUUACAUGUGGUUAAUGGCUAUUAAUGUCAUUUGUGUUUUUACAUGUUGCUUUAUCUACCUUCUUCGUUGAUGAAAGAAAUGUUGGGAAAGGGUAUUGAAACAAUGUUUCUACUGGUUUUAGAGCUUAGCCGGUAGAAGAGGGAUAUUUCUUCUUUUCUUCGUUAUCAUCUUGUAUUAAAUUCGUGCCAUGUGUUGAAUCAUCAUUGGAGAAUUUGGGAUUUUGAAAUUUCAUGUUACCUCUCUUUCAAGAGAUGAAGGGCUGCCGGAUGUUGCAGUCUAUUCUCCAACUCUUUUUUUUUUUUGUUUUUUUUUAAUUAUUUGUAAUAAUAAUAGAGUUAAGAUUAAUGUGGGCUAUUUCUUUUUAAUUAAGCCCAACUAAAGCUUGAUCUUCUGCACCUCCAUGGUCAUACCAGAACCUCAUCUUUGUGUGGUUUAGUUUCUUGAUUAUCAUAAUAUAGAAUUUAGUUAAUUAAUUAAACUUUUA
rnacentral:lncRNA from 1 species